GACCAGGUAGCUCAGUUGGUAGAGCUCCUGGGUAUAUGCCAGGUGGUCCCAGGUUCAAUCCCUGGUCUGGUCA
rfam:Gloeophyllum trabeum ATCC 11539 unplaced genomic scaffold GLOTRscaffold_00005, whole genome shotgun sequence.